rnacentral:rRNA from 1 species
GGACAACCUGCCCUCGGGUGGGGGGAUAACCCCGGGAAACUGGGGCUAAUCCCCCAUAGGGGAUGGGUACUGGAAUGUCCCAUCUCCGAAAGCGCUUAGCGCCCGAGGAUGGGUCUGCGGCGGAUUAGGUUGUUGGUGGGGUAACGGCCCACCAAGCCGAAGAUCCGUACGGGCCAUGAGAGUGGGAGCCCGGAGAUGGACCCUGAGACACGGGUCCAGGCCCUACGGGGCGCAGCAGGCGCGAAACCUCCGCAAUGCGGGAAACCGCGACGGGGUCAGCCGGAGUGCUCGCGCAUCGCGCGGGCUGUCGGGGUGCCUAAAAAGCACCCCAUAGCAAGGGCCGGGCAAGGCCGGUGGCAGCCGCCGCGGUAAUACCGGCGGCCCGAGUGGCGGCCACUUUUAUUGGGCCUAAAGCGUCCGUAGCCGGGCUGGUAAGUCCUCCGGGAAAUCUGGUCGCUUAACGAUCAGACUGCCGGAGGAUACUGCCAGCCUAGGGACCGGGAGAGGCCGGGGGUAUUCCCGGGGUAGGGGUGAAAUCCUGUAAUCCCGGGAGGACCACCUGUGGCGAAGGCGCCCGGCUGGAACGGGUCCGACGGUGAGGGACGAAGGCCAGGGGAGCGAACCGGAUUAGAUACCCGGGUAGUCCUGGCUGUAAACGAUGCGGACUAGGUGUCACCGAAGCUACGAGCUUCGGUGGUGCCGGAGGGAAGCCGUUA